rnacentral:rRNA from 1 species
AGCUCCAAUAGCGUAUAUUAAAGUUGUUGCGGUUAAAAAGCUCGUAGUUGGAUCUCAGCUCAUGUUAUGUGGUCCACUUGCCGGUGGUUACUACAUAGCUGAGCAUUUUACAGACCUGUCUUGCGAUGCUCUUUACCGGGUGUCGUAAGCGAUCUGUACGUUUACUUUGAAAAAAUUAGAGUGCUCAAAGCAGGCGUAACGCCCGAAUAAUCUUGCAUGGAAUAAUGAAAUAGGACCUCGGUUCUAUUUUGUUGGUCUUCGGAAUCUGAGGUAAUGAUUAAGAGGGACAGACGGGGGCAUUCGUAUUGCGGCGCUAGAGGUGAAAUUCUUGGACCGUCGCAAGACGAACUACAGCGAAAGCAUUUGCCAAGAAUGUUUUCAUUAAUCAAGAACGAAAGUA